rnacentral:misc_RNA from 1 species
GAGCGAGGGUCCCCCGGGGCCCGAAUCUCCCACCCUUUGUGAACCAUACCUCUGUUGCUUUGGCGGGCCCGCGGGGCCACACCCGCCGCCGGCUCCGGCUGGCGAGCGCCCGUCAGAGUCCACCCAAACUCUUGUAAACAGUGACGUCUGAGUAAAAAUUUAAUAGCAAAAAACUUUCAACAACGGAUCUCUUGGUUCU